UACGAAGGGUGCAAGCGUUACUCGGAAUUACUGGGCGUAAAGGGUGCGUAGGUGGUUUUUUAAGUCCGUUGUGAAAUCCCUGGGCUCAACCUGGGAAUGGCAGUGGAUACUGGAAAGCUAGAGUGCGGUAGAGGGUAGUGGAAUUCCCGGUGUAGCAGUGAAAUGCGUAGAGAUCGGGAGGAACACCAGUGGCGAAGGCGGCUACCUGGACAGUUACUGACGCUCAGGCACGAAAGCGUGGGGAGCAAAAGGG
rnacentral:rRNA from 1 species